UUACAGUCACAUGCACGUGGCCAAUCUGGAAAGACUUUCCAGUUCCCGGGAAAGGAGUUUCCCUCUCGGGUGGAUGAUUUUGGGGCCUUCUCAUUGUCUUCUGGGGGUGGAGGCCAGCAUCAGAUCCAGUCUCCCGCCAGGGCCACAGCCAGCGCCUGGGCUCGUUUUGCCCUCUGUGAUCCUGUGUGCUCCUCUGUGAAACGGGAGCUGUGACCUGUGGCCCGCAGGUGGUGAGAGAGUGUGGGACAUGCCUCACAGAGCAUGUUUCCUGCUCCAGGGGACAUCAAAAAGGGAGUCCCAGGUUCCCUCACCACCUUCCUGUCCCACCCCAAGAAUGUCCAGCUUCGUGGAGCCACCUGACACCAUGAAGAAACUGUUCCGGGUAGAAAACUGGCCAGAUGAUGCAUUGCUGGCCAAGCCCAAAGUGACCAAGUCCUGCCUGAUCUGUGUGAAGGACAGCUACACCGACUUCCACAUCGACUGUGGGGGCGCCUCCGCCUGGUACCACGUGCUCAAGGGGGAGAAGACCUUCUAUCUCAUCAGGCUGGCCUCGGUCGACAUCUCCUGUAUGAGUGCUGAUAGUCUGCCGCUAACCACAGCGAGAUGUUCUUUGCUGACCAGGUUCACAAAUGCUACAAUUGCAUCGUCAAGCAGGGCCAGACCCUCUUCAUCCCCUCAGGCACUGACAGAGCUCUCGUGGGCCCCGAGCCCUGCAGCCUCCCAGGGCGGUUGUCCCCUGGUCCACUUCAGCUAUGCAGGGCCCAGUGGGGAAGCCUGAGCUGGUGUGUCUGGGGCUUGGACCCACCCCCAUCGUCGCCUGCUUGAUGGUCAGUGCACUGAGAAUGGCUCUUUGGUGGCUUCCAGAGCAUAUGAAGUUGAAAAGAGGUUGAAACUAGGCAGCCUGACUCAGUUUCCCAACUUCAAAACUGCCUGCUGGUACAUGGGGAAGCACCUGCUGGAGGCGUUCAAAGG
rnacentral:lncRNA from 1 species